rnacentral:rRNA from 1 species
UACGAAGGGGGCUAGCGUUGUUCGGAAUUACUGGGCGUAAAGCGCGCGCAGGCGGCCUUUCAAGUCAGGGGUGAAAUCCCAGAGCUCAACUCUGGAAUUGCCUCUGAGACUGUGAGGCUUCGAGUACGGGAGAGGUGAGUGGAAUUCCCAGUGUAGAGGUGAAAUUCGUAGAUAUUGGGAAGAACACCGGUGGCGAAGGCGGCUCACUGGCCCGUUACUGACGCUCAGGCGCGACAGCGUGGGGAUCAAACAGG